UGGGGAAUAUUGCGCAAUGGACGAAAGUCUGACGCAGCGACGCCGCGUGUGGGAUGAAGCUCUUCGGGGUGUAAACCACUGUUGCCCGGGACGAAUUUCUGGUUUUGACCAGAUUGACGGUACCGGGUGAGGAAGCACCGGCUAACUCUGUGCCAGCAGCCGCGGUAAUACAGAGGGUGCGAGCGUUGUCCGGAAUCACUGGGCGUAAAGGGCGCGUAGGUGGCUCGUUAAGCGUGUGGUGAAAGCCUGGGGCUCAACCCCAGGUCUGCCGUGCGAACUGGCGAGCUUGAGAGUAGUAGAGGCGGGUGGAAUUUCGGGUGUAGCGGUGGAAUGCGUAGAUAUCCGAAAGAACACCGGUGGCGAAGGCGGCCCGCUGGGCUAUUUCUGACACUGAUGCGCGACAGCGUGGGGAGCAAACAG
rnacentral:rRNA from 1 species